rnacentral:rRNA from 1 species
GAACGCUGGCGGCAGCCUAACACAUGCAAGUCGAACGGUAACAGAAAGCAGCUUGCUGCUUUGCUGACGAGUGGCGGACGGGUGAGUAAUGUCUGGGAAACUGCCUGAUGGAGGGGGAUAACUACUGGAAACGGUAGCUAAUACCGCAUAACGUCGCAAGACCAAAGAGGGGGACCUUAGGGCCUCUUGCCAUCGGAUGUGCCCAGAUGGGAUUAGCUAGUAGGUGGGGUAACGGCUCACCUAGGCGACGAUCCCUAGCUGGUCUGAGAGGAUGACCAGCCACACUGGAACUGAGACACGGUCCAGACUCCUACGGGAGGCAGCAGUGGGGAAUAUUGCACAAUGGGCGCAAGCCUGAUGCAGCCAUGCCGCGUGUAUGAAGAAGGCCUUCGGGUUGUAAAGUACUUUCAGCGGGGAGGAAGGGAGUAAAGUUAAUACCUUUGCUCAUUGACGUUACCCGCAGAAGAAGCACCGGCUAACUCCGUGCCAGCAGCCGCGGUAAUACGGAGGGUGCAAGCGUUAAUCGGAAUUACUGGGCGUAAAGCGCACGCAGGCGGUUUGUUAAGUCAGAUGUGAAAUCCCCGGGCUCAACCUGGGAACUGCAUCUGAUACUGGCAGGCUUGAGUCUCGUAGAGGGGGGUAGAAUUCCAGGUGUAGCGGUGAAAUGCGUAGAGAUCUGGAGGAAUACCGGUGGCGAA